GACGAACGCUGGCGGCGUGCUUAACACAUGCAAGUCGUACGGUAAGGCCCUUUCGGGGGUACACGAGUGGCGGACGGGUGAGUAACACGUGAGUAACCUGCCCACAACUUUGGGAUAACGCUAGGAAACUGGUGCUAAUACUGGAUAUGUGCUCCUGCUGCAUGGUGGGGGUUGGAAAGCUCCGGCGGUUGUGGCUGGGCUCGCGGCCUAUCAGCUUGCUGGUGGGGUAGUGGACUACCAAGGCGGCGGCGGGUAGCCGGCCUGAGAGGGUGACCGGCCACAUUGGGACUGAGGUACGGCCCAGACUCCGACGGGAGGCAGCAGUGGGGAAUAUUGCACAAUGGGCGCAAGCCUGAUGCAGCAACGCCGCGUGCGGGAUGACGGCCUUCGGGUUGUAAACCGCUUUCAGCAGGGACGAAGCUUUUUGUGACGGUACCUGCAGAAGAAGCACCGGCUAACUACGUG
rnacentral:rRNA from 1 species